rnacentral:rRNA from 1 species
AAGUGACAGUUAAGAAAUCACUUCGUAGUACGAAUAUGAGUGAUAAAAUAAGGGAAAAAAAUGCUUUUUCUUAAAAAAAGUGUCGUCCAAAAAACUGGUGCCAGAAGACUCGGUAAGGCCAGAGACGCGAACGAUAGUCAUCUUAAUCAGGCGUAAAGGAUAAGUAGGCAGCUUUAUGUCUUUUUUUAAAUGAUUAAAAAAAAUAAAGAAAAUAAAGCUAGAAUCUAAAGUAAGUUGAGCCAUAAAAUGCUUAGUUGAUGAUUAAAAUCUGUAGAACCUAAGUAGAAUUCUAAUAGCGAAAGCUUAUCAACUAAUAAAGAUUGACGCUGAGGUAUGAAGGUUAGGAUAGUGACUUGGAUUAGAUACCCGAUUAACCCUAACAGUCAACAAUGAAUGGUCUUCAUUAGUUAAAAAAAAAUAACACUAGAUGAUUAAUGCUAACGCGAGUAACCAUUCCGCCUUGUGAUUACGGCUGCAAAGUUAAAAACAAAAAAAUUAGUCGUCUCGAAGCA